rnacentral:rRNA from 1 species
GUCUCAGUUCAGAUUGCAGGCUGCAACUCGCCUGCAUGAAGUCGGAAUUGCUAGUAAUCGCAGAUCAGCAUGCUGCGGUGAAUACGUUCCCGGGCCUUGUACACACCGCCCGUCACACCAUGGGAGUCGGUAACACCCGAAGUCGGUAGCCUAACCGUAAGGAGGGCGCCGCCGAAGGUGGGAUUGAUGACUGGGGUGGAAGUCGUAACAAGGUACC